GGGGCUGUAGCUCAGUGGCAGAGCACUUGCCUAGUACGUAUGAGGCACAGGGUUCGAUCUUCAGCACCA
rnacentral:tRNA from 1 species